UGUUGUGUGUUCGCUACCUGGCAACUGUACACACAGCAAACGAGGGGCUAGUCUGCAGAGUUUUUUAAAGAGCAGUUCCAGCUCACUUUAAUAUAAAUACACGGAAAACUGCAGUACCUGAGCUGUAGCGGCGUUUUGCGUGUGUAACAUAGAAGAAACAUCAAGCACCCCGCAUCUCUCAAUGAUCCUUUAGUCUCAGUAUCUGAAGGUGACCUUCAAGAGGGCGAAUCUGAGGAAAGUAUCUGGUCCAGACAGAGUACCUGGCCAAGCAGUGGAGACCUGUGCUGACCAACUAGCUGGUGUGUAUUUCAACCUCUCACUUCAGCAGUGUGUAGUACCCACCUGCUUCAAGCAGUCUCCAAUCAUAUGAGUGCCCAAGAAGGCGUGGUAACCUGCCUAAGGCACCUACAUUCACAUAGAUGACAUGUUUUGAGAGGUUGAAACAUUGAAUAUCAGCUCCUAUCUGAGUGGUGACUUGGAUCUGCUCCAAUUUGUCUACAAGAGCAACAGGUCCAAAGCAGAUGCCAUCUCAUUGGUUCUUCACACAACCAUGGAACAUCUGGACAGCGAAGAUGCAUACCUCAGGAUGCUCAUUGAUUACAGCUCAGCAUUUAGUACUAUCAAACCCUCAAAACUAAUCAGUAAGCUCCAAGACCAGAGCCUCAAUACCCCCCAGUGCAACUGAAACCUGGAUUUCUUCAUUUGCAAACACCAGUCAGUUCAUAUUAGCAAAAUAUUCUCCUCUACACUCUCCAUCUGUACAGGUGCACCACAGGGCUGUGUGCUUAGCCCCCUGCUCAACUCGCUUUACACCUAUGAGUGUGUGGCUAAGUGCAACUCUAACACCAUAUUCAAGUUUGCUGAUGACACCACUGUUUCGGGCCGUAUCAAAGGUGGUGAUGAAUCAGCAUACAGGAGGGAGAUUGAAAACUUGGCUGAGUGGUGUCAUGGGAACAACCUCUCACUCAAUGUCAGCAAGACCUGGAAACUGAUUGUAGACUUCAGAGGAGUUAAUCCAUCAGCCAGUCCUCAUCAGAAGGUUGGUAACUUUAAAUGCCUGGGCAUCACUAUCUCAGAGAACUUGUUCUGGACCCCACAUAUAAGGGUAAGUGUAAAGCACAACAGCACCUCUGCUUUCUUAGGAGUCUGUCGAUAUCUGGCAUGUCAUCAAAAACAUCAAACUUCUAUAGAUGUGUGGUGGAAAGUGAAUUGACUGGCUGCAUUGUGGCCUGGUAUGGGAACACCAAUGCCUUUGAACAGAAAACCCUACAAAAGGCAGUGGAUUCAGCCCAGUACAUCACGGGUGAAGCCCUCACAGCCAUUGAACACACCUACAUGAAACGCUGUCGUAAGAAAGCAACAUCCAUCAUUGGGGAUCCUCACCACCCAGGCCAUGCUCUUUUCUCGCUGCUGCCAUCAGAUGCCCCAGGACUCUCACCACCGGGCUCAGGAACAGUUACUACCCCUCAACCAUCGAACAGGCUCUUGAACAAAAGAGGAUAUUGAGAUGUUCCCACAACCAAUGAUCUCACUUUAAGGGCUCUUGUUAUUUCAUGCUCUCAUUAUUUAUUGCUAUGUAUUUAUAUCUGCAUUUGCAUAGUUUGUGCCUUCUAUGCUGUUGCUUUUUCGUUAACACUGUUUAUGGUUACUGUUGAUAGAUCUGCUGAGUAUGCCCACAGGAAAAAGAAUCUCAGGGUUGUACGUGUUGACAUAUAUGUAUUCUGAUUAUAAAUUCUACUUUGAAAUUUCAACUUUAACAAGGUGAGUCAUCCUCUAACACUAUUCUUCUACUCACUGUUCUAAUUUUACCAUUUUGCCUAAAAGCAAGUUCUCAAUUGUGCUGUAUAAUAACCUAAUGCAACUAAUGUGUCCAGUGUGUAUGUUACAAAUAUUUUCAAUUACGAAACAAAAUAGUUGAAGUAUUUAAGUAUAAAGGCAAUCUCAAAUACCUAAAUGUUAAAUAUUAAUCUCAUGGCAUGUUUGUCAUACGAGGAGAGUCUAAGCAGAUUGAAAUGGGAUACACUGUAGUUUAGAAGACUGAGAGAUGAUCUAAUUGAAACAUGAAAGACUUCAGCCAUUUAGGACAGGUGAGAAGACAUUUAUUUACAUGGAGGGCAGUGAAUGUCGGAAUUCACUUACGCAAGCAGCCUGUGUAAUCCAAAACAAAGAUCAUUAGAUUUCUAGAUUUUAAAGGACUCGAGAUACGUUUAUAGAAUCAGUGCAGGAAAGUGAUGCUGAGGUAAUGGUCAGCCAUGAUCUUAUUAUAUGCUAAUGUAGGCACAAGAGAUAGAAUAAUCUAAUAUUCAUUUCAUUAGGAAUACUUCUUUCAGCUCUCAGCUUCAUUAGCAUUUUGGAUUUUCUACAAAAGUCUUUUGUUCCUUACCUGGUUAACCUGUUGGCUUUUAUAUUUUGAAGUGCUUUCCUUUUACUUUUCACCAAAUUCUGCUAUGAGCAAUUAUAUAAUUUUUUCCACUCCCUUGAACAAUGUGGCCCAACAAAUACUUAAAAAACAUAAAUUUGCAUUUUGAUAGUAACUAAGAUGAUGAAUUAGUUUUCUGCAGUCUUUUUUAUAUCUUUCAAUUGUGCGUGUAACGGUGGGAUCUUUGCCUAUACAGUCCUAUCCUGACCCACAAGUUCUAUUGCAGGUGGGACAUGUAUAUGUGGUAGUGGUUGUAGUGAUGGCAACCAUGUCUGCAUUUCUCCUGGCUCUAUUCUACUGUCUUCUGAUUGUUCUUUCCACCUCCAGAAUAUGAACCCCGUCCCUACAUAGCUGUUGCCAAGUGUUACGGUCAGCAGCAACAUCCUCCAGGUCAUCAGGUCUGAUCUUGCACUUCCUUAAAGCAUUCUUCAUCUGAUCCUUAUAGCGCUCCUUUGGCCCUCCAGCUGAACGUCAGCCAUGAUGCAGCUGGCCGUAUAACACUCUGAGGGGUAGCCGACAUGGGGGCAUCCUUAUCAUGUGCCCCAGCCGCUGCAGCUGACGCUGGGUGGUCAUGGCCUCAAUACUUCUGCAGUUGGUCUUUACAAGUAUUUCAGUGUGAGGCACCCGCUCACGCCAGGUAAUUCCCAAGAUGCGCUGAAGGCAGCUUAUGUGGAAGCGCUCCAAGGACUUGAUGUGAUGGCUGUAGGUUGCCCAAGUGUAAAGGGGAUUUCUUCUUUUUCUUUGUUACUGUGUAUGUAAUCAAAAUGGCUUCUUUGUUUUGUUAAAAGUAGGAAUGCUUCUUUGUUGCGAGAGAGUGCUGGAAGCUUGUUUGGAUUAAAAUUUACAGAUGACGAGAAUUGUAUUCCUUUGUAAACCAUUUGGGAUUAAUGUUGUUCUUUCUUCUGAGUCUGUAAGCUUUUGUUGACGGGCUUUUGGGGAGAUCGGCGCGAGGGGUUGAGAGAGAGGACGCGAUGCUGUAAACUGGCUGAAGAACGGACCCCAAGCGGGGUCCGAAGCCAGGAGGUACUCCGAGGAGAGGAGAUGAAGCUAGAUGUGCUUGGUUGACCACUUCGGAUGGUCCUAAGCUGUGAGUCGAGGAGUUCGGAGGGGAUCGAAUGGUGGCCAGAAGACUUCAGUAAUUGAGCUCCAACGGUUGUGCACGAAGUGGUUUGGACUUUGAUAAGUUUGACGCCUUUUCUUUAUUUUCUUUUCCUUCAUAUAUACUGUAUCAUUAUUAAUCACUUAGUUAUAGUAACCUUUAUAAAUUGUACUCAUUUAAUCGCA